GGCGAGUCCAGCUCUGCUGGCUACUUACGCUGGGGAAGGGCUGUGACUCUGAAGGCUGCGGGCCCACGGAGAGUCUGCUUUUCAGCAGCUGGACGGCCUCCUCCUCCAUUCAGAAACAGAUGAACUACUGAAGUCCAGAGAGAUCAAGUCACAUGGCCCAAGACCAGCAGAGAGGAAGAGGGGAAGGAAGGAGUCCGGUGCCCCAAACCCUGCCUGUGAACUAAGGAUGCAGCAAUGCCAUCUUGAAAUAUGCUUGGAAAGAGUCCAAAGGUAAUUGACUGCUUUCCUCUCUUGUUCAUUUGCUUCUAGAGUAGAGCGUGGAGUCUUGGCAGCCAAAGACAGUUGGGAAGGUCCCAGCUUAUGGGAUCCCCCUCACUGAUCUGAGAAGAGGGUAUAGGUCAGGGUCUGGGUCAGUGGCUAAUGCCGUGGCUGAGACGGCCUGGCCAGAGCGCUGCUGAGAGGAGCCAAGAGCAUAGCUGGGGAAGCAGGACCUGGGCCAAGUCUGAAACGGAAGGGAAAUGGAGUCCUGAGAACCGGCCCUGAGCUCAUCUGUAGAAGAGCAGUGUGUGGGGGGAGGAUGCAGCUCAGAAGCCAGACUGUGGUGUCCAGGCUGCGCUGAUGCCCCAUUUUACAUGUUGUGCGCAGGUUGGGGUGGUGCCCGGAGCUGGAGAAUCAGAGACAGGAUCACACAAGGCCCGGUUCAUCCAUGAUAGCAAAGCUCAAAGAGGUUUUGCAACUAACCUCCCAGUGCCCCGUGAGAACAGUCUAUUAGAAUGCGUUGAUGCAUCGACCCAAUGCACCAAGUUUUCUGUUUAGGGUUUCUUAUUCUCUAUUUUUAAAAACCUCUCUUUUGUAUGUGAUAGAAAUGUAUCUGUUCAAAAAGCUUAACGCAUCUUGAUCUUUCUGCUGCCCUUGAGCAAUUGAGAUCGUCGGAGCUGAAAGGACCUUGGAGAUUAUCUUCGCUGCCCCCUCCUGUUUCAGAUGAAGAAGCUGAGUCCUAGAAGGCAGAAAUGAUGUAUACGCGUCUCACAGCAAGCGUGGGCUGGAACCACACCUCCCGCAGGCGGCCUUCCUUCCUACAGGAAGUUCCCCACCAGGCCUCUGCGGGUGCAGAGUCUCCGCCAGAUCAGACCAGCAAGGGGACCUCCAAGAACACCAAGGCCCUGGCUGCUCUGUGGGUUUGAGUGAAAUGACAGAUCUUCCUUCAACUGUCCCUUUAGCUUCCUUUUUCCCUCCUCCAUCUCUGAGGCCACCUGGGAAUUUUGAUAUGAAAAGUCCAGUCUUGCAGCGCGUGAGGAUUAUGAGGAACUGAGAAAUCACCU